GCUUUGUUUAAGUGAUGUUGAUGUCAUGACGGUAAAAAGUAGUAUAUGCAGGUAUAGGGGCA
rnacentral:tRNA from 1 species